rnacentral:tRNA from 1 species
GGGAAGGUGGCUCAGUGGUAGAGUGCUUGCCUAGUAUGCAUGAAGCCCUGGGUUCGAUUCCUUAGCAUCACA